AUCAUGUUAUUAAUUUAUAACAACAAAACACAAGACAAGUAUAAUCUCGUCUACGACACUUUAAAUCAUAGCCGCAAAUAGACGGAGAUUUCCCUGUUGGAGAUUUUAUUAAAUAUUUCCUUUCAUUUUGUCUCGCCAUUUCUGUUGACCAGAGUAGAAGAAAGUUGUGUGUUUAAGAAUCUGUUACUAUAACAACAUCAUGAUGUCUGAUACGUCACUUCAACAGAUUGUCAAUCACCAGAGUCUUAAUUUCAACCUCCCUUGUAAUUUACAAAUAGGAGAACACAACAUCAUACAAAAUCAUCCGACCAACCAACUCAAAGAAGAUGUUGACAGGAUGAAGAAUGAGAUACAACAACUUCAAUCAGACAAACAGAAUCAAAACGAUGAUAUGAUAACUCUUAAUGUAAGGCGGAUUGGUGGUAGAGGUAAGAUGGCUAUAAGUGUUAGUAGAGAUAAAACUAUAAGUGAACUAGAACCUAUAAUACAAGAGGAGUAUAGAAGGAAGUAUGGUGGAGAUGGUGGUGUUUGUUAUAUUUGUUCUAUUUAUCAUAUCUACAGUGUAAAACAUAAGAACAUCUACAAAUAUACCAACAACAAAGAUCUACCAUUAUCACAUUAUGGUGUAGGUGAGGGUGAUAAAGUCAAUUGUUUGAGAAUAUUGAGUUAAUAGUAUUAUAAUCAUAUAGUACUUACUAUAAAACAAUAUUCAACAUUAUUAUACAUUUGUAUUAUGUAAGAUAUAAGUAUUGUGAUGCUAUAAUAAACAAUAUUAAACAUUAUAAUAUUAUGUAAGAUAUAAGUAUUGUGGUACUAUAAAACAAUAUUAAACAUUAUUAUAUUAUGUAAGAUAUAAGUAUUGUGGUACUAUAAAACAAUAUUCAACAUUAUAAUAUUAUGUAAGAUAUAAGUAUUGUGGUACUAUAAAACAAUAUUCAACAUUAUAAUAUUAUGUAAGAUAUAAGUAUUGUGGUGCUAUAAAACAAUAUUCAACAUUAUUAUAUUAUGUAAGAUAUAAGUAUUGUGGUGCUAUAAAACAAUAUUCAACAUUAUUAUAUUAUGUAAGAUAUAAGUAUUG